GGCGCUAUAGCCAAGUGGUCACGGCGACAGUUUCGAAUUGACCGACGAAAGCUGUUCCUCUUUGAGGGCGCAUGUUCGAAUCAUGCUGGCGUCG
rnacentral:tRNA from 1 species